GAUGCUACCUGGUAUCCUCCAGAUAAUCC
rnacentral:rRNA from 1 species